GGGGGUGGGGGCGGGCGCUGCGACCCCCCCGAGCCGCGGGCAGAGGACGCCGAGGGCAAAGCGCGUGUGGCAAAGGCGGUCGCGGAGGCAUAAAGAGGAGCAGAAUCCAGAUUUCCCGAAUUCCAGAGGCAAUGCUUAUAUCAAUCUGGAGAGCGGGACGCUCAGCUUCACACGCUCCUUUUGCAGCAUCAGGAGAAGUGCUGACUGCUAGGUCUUUCUUGACUGGUAGAUCCCCGCGUGUGAACCAGGAGACAUUUCUGCAUGGGACCAUCACUGGGUGCAGAUUGAGAGCGGGCCAGCGAAGGGAGCAAAAGAAUGGAAACUGCAGCCAGUGAGGAACGAUUCAAAGAACUGGGGUUGUUUAGAGAAGCCAAGACAGAUGAGAGACACGAUAAUUUUCUUCAAAUAUGUAAAAGAUUCAUUAAAGAGGAAUUUUCUCAGUAUCAAUGACAGGGCAGACAGGAAAGGAUGAGCACAACAUGAAGCUAGAAAGAUUCAGGUUGGAGAUGAGGAAAAACCUUUACUGAGAAGGGCAGAAGCAACCCAGUAUAAACACCAUUGCCACAGGAGGCUGCAGGUAGGAGCUGAUGGACUGGAUGUAAAUGAAGAGCUGCCCGCCCUGGCCAGCCUGGACUAGUGGGAUCCACAGGAUGGAGAUCACAACGAGCAGCAGCACAAAGACCCUGUGCAAGAAGAAGAUGUCAUUAUUGGUAGCCCAGAUUGUUCUUUUCCACUUGCUCAGCUUGCAGGACUCCUGCUGAGAUCUGUAACCACCAGGCCUCUGCUGUUGCCCCCCAGCACCCCUGUGCAGAAGGGGGCUCUCAGCCCGUCCUCACCUGUAGUGGAUCCCUUGCACCCGCCCUGCCCAGGCUUCCCCAGACACCCUCUCCAGCUGCUUGAUUUGUGUCUCUGCAUGUCUUUGUGCUAUGGCAUCUUGGGUUUGCUCCUGUAGUUUGGUUUGACCUGAGCAAGCUCCUUCCCCCAUCUCUAACAAUGCUGUAGUGAAGUGGCUGUAAUUAAAAAUGGUCUGAAAUACA